rnacentral:rRNA from 1 species
CGGCAGCGCGGACUUCGGUCUGGCGGCGAGUGGCGAACGGGUGAGUAAUACAUCGGAACGUACCCUGUUGUGGGGGAUAACUAGUCGAAAGAUUAGCUAAUACCGCAUACGACCUGAGGGUGAAAGUGGGGGACCGCAAGGCCUCACGCAGCAGGAGCGGCCGAUGUCUGAUUAGCUAGUUGGUGGGGUAAAGGCCCACCAAGGCGACGAUCAGUAGCUGGUCUGAGAGGACGAUCAGCCACACUGGGACUGAGACACGGCCCAGACUCCUACGGGAGGCAGCAGUGGGGAAUUUUGGACAAUGGGGGCAACCCUGAUCCAGCAAUGCCGCGUGUGUGAAGAAGGCCUUCGGGUUGUAAAGCACUUUUGUCCGGAAAGAAAUCGCGCUGGUUAAUACCUGGCGUGGAUGACG